rnacentral:rRNA from 1 species
GACGAACGCUGGCGGCGUGCCUAAUACAUGCAAGUUGAGCGCUGAAGGUUGGUACUUGUACCAACUGGAUGAGCAGCGAACGGGUGAGUAACGCGUGGGGAAUCUGCCUUUGAGCGGGGGACAACAUUUGGAAACGAAUGCUAAUACCGCAUAAAAACUUUAAACACAAGUUUUAAGUUUGAAAGAUGCAAUUGCAUCACUCAAAGAUGAUCCCGCGUUGUAUUAGCUAGUUGGUGAGGUAAAGGCUCACCAAGGCGAUGAUACAUAGCCGACCUGAGAGGGUGAUCGGCCACAUUGGGACUGAGACACGGCCCAAACUCCUACGGGAGGCAGCAGUAGGGAAACUUCGGCAAUGGACGAAAGGCUGACCGAGCAACGCCGCGGGAGUGAAGAAGGUUUUCGGAUCGUAAAACUCUGUUGGUAGGGAAGAACGUUGGUGAGAGUGGAAAGCUCAUCAAGUGACGGUAACUACCCAGAAAGGGACGGCUAACUACGUG